rnacentral:rRNA from 1 species
UACGUAGGGGGCAAGCGUUGUCCGGAAUCAUUGGGCGUAAAGCGCGCGUAGGCGGCCCGGUAAGUCCGCUGUAAAAGUCCAGGGCUCAACCCUGGAAAGCCGGUGGAUACUGUCGGGCUAGAGUCCGGAAGAGGCGAGUGGAAUUCCUGGUGUAGCGGUGGAAUGCGCAGAUAUCAGGAAGAACACCCGUGGCGAAGGCGGCUCUCUGGGACGGUACUGACGCUGAGACGCGAAAGCGUGGGGAGCGAACAGG